rnacentral:lncRNA from 1 species
GCAAUUUCCUCUCAUUCUGUUCUUGGUUCUGUUCGAGGUUUUCUUUACCUCAACUAUCUAGGCAAUUUAGGCGGCGAGUCCCCAGUGCGCACCGCUUCAGGGUUUUGGGAGCUGCUACUUUUUCUUAUUCUUUUGUCGGUCUUGUUUCCUCUCGUUCUUUUCUUGGCCUUCUUUACCAGGUGUGUUUUUCCCAUUUCUCAUUCUUCUUCUUAGCUUUCUCUGGCCAGUGCUUUUUCCUUCCCUUGUUUUCCUAUUGAAUUUUCUGAGGACGGCGAUGAUUCCUGAUAGAUAGUCUUGCUGUAGUUAUGCCUUAUGUUACUGCUACUUCUUUGUUUUAAUGCAGCUGCUGCUUGGCUUAGGUAUAGCUGCGGUGGAUAUUACUCAGUGUAACCUUGCAAUAUGUUUAUUUGUUCUUCUUUGGCUGGAAUUGGGGAACAAUUGCUCUUUUUCUUGUUAAUGGAAUGCGUCGAUAUAGCUGUAAUAGUUAUUAUUCAAUAAAAUGUUAAGUUGUGUUUUUCGUUCCUUUUCUUUGUGCUGUAGAUUAAUGCUUUGAGAAUGGGUCGGAAUGGAGUAUACGGAAGCUUGGAAGAGGCAGUUAAACCAGAAUUAACUAUAAAACAGGUCUUUGCAUAAUUAAUGCUUUUACAAAUAUCUUGAAAUAAUAUUUCUUACUCCAUUAAAACUUUUCCUAUCAGAAAUUAGCAGUGAGAAUCCGGGUUCUGAUAUGAGUUCAGUGUUGCAUGGAUUGGACAAGAUGAGUUUGCGGUACGGGGCUAGAGAAGACGAGAAACAGGGGAAUCUGUAAACCAUUUGGCCUGACUCCUCAAUGUGUUAAUUCGUUUUUUUACUGAAGCUGUUUAGACUUCGCUAAGAGACAUGAAAACUUACUGAGUGUUGUUUUGAUCGGUUAAGUGAAUUGUUAUCGCAAUACAAAGGUGAAUCUUUUUUUUCCAGAUUUAUUUUCUUUAGAAUUCAUCAAAUGCUAAUUUCCAUUUCAGAUUUAUUCUGUCUAUGCUUUCCCACUACUUUCUUUAUGAGACUGGGGAUUGCCAAGUUUGUCGCAUGAAUCAGGAAUAUAUUUUACACUAAAGGCAAAACGAAGGGCUCUAGGAAAUGUCUGGUGUUUUGGAUGAGCAUCAUCCAGCGCUAGCCAAUGCGCUGAUCGUAUG